GAUGCUACAGGAGGUGGAAUGAGGAUGGGAGCAGCAGCUGCAUCAAGUGCAGGAAUGAGACCCUGCCCAGCCCCUCUGGGCACAACCUCAGCGAGUGCAGGAAUUCUGGGAGCAGAGGGCUGAGCUCCCACCUGAACGUGAGCACUCCUUUCUUCCAGAACUUUGGGGGCCCCGAGGUCGCCGCCUCGCUGAUUUUGGGGACGUUUUUCCUCAGUUUGUUCCUGAUCCUCUCUGUGGCUUCUUUUUUCUACCUCAAACGAGCCAACAAACUCCCAAAGAUUUUCUACAGGAGGA